AAGUCGUAACAAGGUUUCCGUAGGUGAACCUGCGGAAGGAUCAUUAGUGAAUUUGUAGCCUCCAAGGCUCACAUUCCCUAUCCUUUACACACCUGUGCACCCUUCUGAAGCGGAGAGUUAUUAGGCAUUAGCCGAGCGCCUCCCUUCGGUUAUUAUAUCAAACUCAAACUACGUUUACUAGAAUGUAUACCGUCUUGUUGUAACGACAAGUACAAUCCAAUAAAACUUUCAGCAACGGAUCUCUUGGCUCAG
rnacentral:misc_RNA from 1 species